rnacentral:tRNA from 4 species
UCCGGUGUGGUGUAUCGGUUAGCAUACCGCGUUUUCACCGCGGCGAGCGGGGUUCGAUUCCCCGCACCGGAG